rnacentral:rRNA from 1 species
GAACGCACCUUGGCGCUCCUUGGUAUUCCGAGGAGCAUGCCUGUUUGAGUGUCAU